rnacentral:lncRNA from 1 species
UGUACACUGAAGCCCUCAUACUGGCACUGGAUGUACUGAUUGCAUGAGUGGCAGAGGUGGGUGGUGCAAAGGGGUCCUGGUAUCAGGUACGUGGACUUCUUGGAAUUUCUCUACCUGAAGUCAGAUUCUGCUGUGGCUCUUUUAGUGAGCAGUUGUGGUCACAGCAGUGCUGUGACCUCUAGGACCCAUGAGGCUCCCUCUGGUUAGGCUUGGACUUAGGUGAGGGACAGCCUGGGUCUUGACCCACCUAUCCAGGAUGUGCCUUGUGCAUAUGGGUCAGCUGAGUCCUGCCCACCAUUUUCCAGGUAUGUGACCAUGGUCCCAAGACUAAACUCUCUGAAUCUCAGUUACCUUUUCUGUGAAAUGGGAGAAAUGACAAUGUGGAAUGCCAUAAACUCCUCUGUGAUCCAGCAGGUGGCAGGUAUUAAGCAGACACUCAUUCGGCCUGUGUGUCCUGCCUGGUGCUGCCACCAUACUGUCUGGACCUAGCCUGGUUGAGGGCUUUGCUAAAGGCACCAUAACCAGCAGUAUGCCCAUUCCCCACCUCUUUGCACAUCUCCCUGGGGCUCCAGCAUAGUGCAGAUGACAGUCAGAGAAACCUACUUUUUUUAACCUGUUCUCAGGACAAAGGUAGAUAGUAUUACCAUCCAUUGUUUACUAAGGACUUGUUCUGUGCUGGAUGCUGCUGUUCUUCACAUUUAAAUCUUUCUUUAACUACAUGUGGAAGGUACGAUGAUAUCCCCUUGACAGGUGAGGAAAUAGAAGCAGGCUAAAAGAUGGGUUUCUAUUGGUAGAGUUACCUUCUUCACACUUUUUUGCCACCUUUUUGUUGCAUUUUAUUUAUGGGAAAACAGAAGGCUUAAAAGAAAUAUCUGCAGCCUGCUUGUGUCAACAUCAGUACCCUUAGAUUGAGUUCUAUGAGAUUUGUAAGGUGUUACCUUUGAGGGGAACUGGGUAAAGGGCACAGAGACCCCCCACCUCCCUCUCUCCCCCCUCCCCCUUUC